ensembl:misc_RNA Metazoa_SRP Metazoan signal recognition particle RNA
GCCAGGUGCUGUGGUGCAUGCCUGUAGUUCCAGCUACUCAGGAGGCUGAGGUGGGAGGAUGGCUUGAGCCCAGGAGUUCUGGGCUGUAGUGCUCUAUGCUGAUUGGGUUUCUGCACUAAGUUCGGCAUCAAUAUGAUGACCCUCCGGGAGCGGAGGACCACCAGGUUGCAUAAAGGGGGGUGAACUGGCCCAGAUGGGAAACAGAGCAGGUCAAAACUCCUGUGCUGAUGAGUAGUGGGAUCGUGCCUGUGAAUAGCCAGUGCACUCCAGCCUGGGUGACAUAGCGAGACCCUGUCUCUU